rnacentral:rRNA from 1 species
AUAUUUGAGAGUUUGAUCCUGGCUCAGGAUGAACGCUGGCGGCGUGCCUAACACAUGCAAGUCGAGCGAUUCCUUCGGGAAGAGCGGCGGACGGGUGAGUAACGCGUGGGUAACCUGCCCUGUACACACGGAUAACAUACCGAAAGGUAUGCUAAUACGGGAUAAAAUAUGAAAGUUGCAUAACUUUCAUAUCAAAGCUUUUGCGGUACAGGAUGGACCCGCGUCUGAUUAGCUAGUUGGUAAGGUAACGGCUUACCAAGGCGACGAUCAGUAGCCGACCUGAGAGGGUGAUCGGCCACACUGGAACUGAGACACGGUCCAGACUCCUACGGGAGGCAGCAGUGGGGAAUAUUGCACA